rnacentral:rRNA from 1 species
GACGAACGCUGGCGGCGUGCUUAACACAUGCAAGUCGAACGGAAAGGCCCUGCUUUUGUGGGGUGCUCGAGUGGCGAACGGGUGAGUAACACGUGAGUAACCUGCCCUUGACUUUGGGAUAACUUCAGGAAACUGGGGCUAAUACCGGAUAGGAGCUCCUGCUGCAUGGUGGGGGUUGAAAAGUUUCGGCGGUUGGGGAUGGACUCGCGGCUUAUCAGCUUGUUGGUGGGGUAGUGGCUUACCAAGGCUUUGACGGGUAGCCGGCCUGAGAGGGUGACCGGCCACAUUGGGACUGAGAUACGGCCCAGACUCCUACGGGAGGCAGCAGUGGGGAAUAUUGCACAAUGGGCGGAAGCCUGAUGCAGCAACGCCGCGUGCGGGAUGACGGCCUUCGGGUUGUAAACCGCUUUCGCCUGUGACGAAGCGUGAGUGACGGUAAUGGGUAAAGAAGCACCGGCUAACUACGUGCCAGCAGCCGCGGUGAUACGUAGGGUGCGAGCGUUGUCCGGAUUUAUUGGGCGUAAAGGGCUCGUAGGUGGUUGAUCGCGUCGGAAGUGUAAUCUUGGGGCUUAACCCUGAGCGUGCUUUCGAUACGGGUUGACUUGAGGAAGGUAGGGGAGAAUGGAAUUCCUGGUGGAGCGGUGGAAUGCGCAGAUAUCAGGAGGAACACCAGUGGCGAAGGCGGUCCUCUGGGCCUUUCCUGACGCUGAGGAGCGAAAGCGUGGGGAGCGAACAGGCUUAGAUACCCUGGUAGUCCACGCUGUAAACGGUGGGUACUAGGUGUGGGGUCCAUUCCACGGGUUCCGUGCCGUAGCUAACGCUUUAAGUACCCCGCCUGGGGAGUACGGCCGCAAGGCUAAAACUCAAAGGAAUUGACGGGGCCCCGCACAAGCGGCGGAGCACGCGGAUUAAUUCGAUGCAACGCGUAGAACCUUACCUGGGUUUGACAUGGAUCGGGAGUGCUCAGAGAUGGGUGUGCCUCUUUUGGGGUCGGUCCACAGGUGGUGCAUGCCUGUCGUCAGCUCGUGUCGUGAGAUGUUGGGUUAAGUCCCGCAACGAGCGCAACCCUUGUUCACUGUUGCCAGCACGUUAUGGUGGGGACUCAGUGGAGACCGCCGGGGUCAACUCGGAGGAAGGUGGGGAUGACGUCAAGUCAUCAUGCCCCUUAUGUCCAGGGCUUCACGCAUGCUACAAUGGCUGGUACAGAGAGUGGCGAGCCUGUGAGGGUGAGCGAAUCUCGGAAAGCCGGUCUCAGUUCGGAUUGGGGUCUGCAACUCGACCUCAUGAAGUCGGAGUCGCUAGUAAUCGCAGAUCAGCAACGCUGCGGUGAAUACGUUCCCGGGGCU